UAACGCGUGAGGAACCUGCCUUCCAGAGGGGGACAACAGUUGGAAACGACUGCUAAUACCGCAUGACGCAUGACUGUGGCAUCACAGACAUGUCAAAGAUUUAUCGCUGGAAGAUGGCCUCGCGUCUGAUUAGCUAGUUGGUGAGGUAACGGCCCACCAAGGCGACGAUCAGUAGCCGGACUGAGAGGUUGGCCGGCCACAUUGGGACUGAGAUACGGCCCAGACUCCUACGGGAGGCAGCAGUGGGGAAUAUUGGGCAAUGGACGCAAGUCUGACCCAGCAACGCCGCGUGAAGGAAGAAGGCUUUCGGGUUGUAAACUUCUUUUAAGGGGGAAGAGCAGAAGACGGUACCCCUUGAAUAAGCCACGGCUAACUACGUGCCAGCAGCCGCGGUAAUACGUAGGUGGCAAGCGUUGUCCGGAUUUACUGGGUGUAAAGGGCGUGCAGCCGGGAAGACAAGUCAGAUGUGAAAUCCCGCGGCUCAACCGCGGAACUGCAUUUGAAACUGUUUUUCUUGAGUAUCGGAGAGGUAACCGGAAUUCCUAGUGUAGCGGUGAAAUGCGUAGAUAUUAGGAAGAACACCAGUGGCGAAGGCGGGUUACUGGACGACAACUGACGGUGAGGCGCGAAAGCGUGGGGAGCAAACAGGAUUAGAUACCCAGGUAGU
rnacentral:rRNA from 1 species